ACAGCAUACUUAUUUAAUUCAAUUUACAUUUGGAAAAUUUGACAUUAUAAGAAAUUUGAUAUACAUAUAUACAUGUAAAUGGUAUUAUGUCAGUAACUGAAAUUGCGUAGAAUUACAAAAUUUUAUUUUAGAAAUGAAGAUUUUUUUUUCAAAAUUGAAAACUAUGUUUUAUGUUUAUGUAUAUUGACGAUAUUUUGUGUGCAUUGUUUAUAUCGAUUUUGGUUGUUUUGGUUUCUUUCUCAAAUUUUUGGAGUUGGUGUGUGAUUGGGGUUAUUCGAUUUGGGUUCGGUGUUUUAGUUUGUCUCUUUGUGGGAGUUGUUUAUGUGUGUUAUGGUAGUUUUUCUUUGUCUUUGUUGGAGUUGUUAAUGUCAUUUGUGUGUUAUGGUAGUUUUUCUUUGUCGAAAAUUCAGGCCUUAUUUCUGAAUAGUUUGGGAAUUGGUGGUCGAUAAGACAGUUGAUUCUUUGCUGAUACAUUGUGAUCGAUUUGAAAAUUUUGGAUUUUGUUAUACUAGUCGAAUUAUUAUUAUUCAUCAUUUCAAAUAGUUAUAUCAAUUUCAUUAGAAAUGGGAGACACAUUUAUAGUUAUAUUGAAUUUUUAGAUGUACAAUACCCAAUUUUGUAUAAUUAUAUUGAUGUUUAAUAUGAGUAAUGUGAUAUUUUUGAUAAUUAUAUAAAUAUAUAGGUGGAGAAUGCGAAAAAUAUAUUAAAGAUAACAUUGAUUCUUUUCGAUUUAGAACGUGACAUUUUUGGGUGUUGAAUGCGACAUUUUUAACAAUUAUAUAUACUGAUUAUUUUAGAUGCAGAAUGCGACAUUUUAGACUAGUAUAAUAUUAUUGUUCUUUGGUUUUUCGUUUGUUUUCAGAUGGCGUAAGAAAACAUCACUGGAUUACUUUUGAAAGACAAAACUAGAUAAAAUUGUAUAUUUCUAAAUAUUACCACUAUAUAUUUCAGACUAUUGUUCGAUUGAUGGUAAAAAAAUGUUUAUUGAUCAUUGAGCAGACGUAAAGCAGGAAAUGGCGGGAAGAAUCCUAGCAGACGACAGUUGUCGCGCAGAUGCAAUCAUGCACCAUAUCAGACUGCCCGAAAUUACAGGCUGGCCUAGCUCUAUACUGGACUCGCUUUCAGCAGGUUAGGGUUUUGAAAAAGGAAAUCAUAACUUUGUAAUGUAGCAGACGACAAUAAAUUUUAAAGUGGAAAUUUGCGACUUCCGGUGUGUCUGCUACUCGAUGUUGUGAUCUCAGUUACUUCCCCUGACGUUCAGUAUAUGAAAUGAGGGUCGAGGAUUUGAAAUUAGGAAAGAACGAAAGAUAUGAAAUGAGCACCGGCAAACUGAUCUUGGCAUGUUACAUCCUUAUCACAGAACUGGAACCUUCUGAUUAAGAUGAGAAAUACGGAACAUGGUAAAUUGAGCAGGUGAAGGAAUGAAUAAAACACCACCCUCUUUACAGUCAGCAAAAUAACUAUGCUUCCGGUUUGGAACUACUGCAUGCCGUUACAACAUAUGUGACAAAGAGAUUUUAAUCCACCUGAUACGAUUUGGUAUCUUUCUAUAAAUGUCAUGUUCAACUUCUGAAUGGUGUUUUUUUCUGCCAAGUUUAAGAAAUAUAUUACCAUGUAACUGUCUAAUAUUUAUGGCAAUUAUGAAGUAAUGAGUUUUUGGCGUAGUAAUCAAAACCAUAAAAGGUGUUAGCUCGAAAGGAUUUUCUACAUGAGCUUGAAAAAAUAACACCUUCAUAAAUGCCGUGAUGUGAACAGAAUAGAAGGGAUAUUUUAUUUGCUUUUUACAUUUUACAUCUUCUAUUUACCAACACACAGUACCGUCAAUGUAUUGUAAUGGCAAUAAUGAGUAUAAUUGCAAUAAUGAAUAAUGCACUUUUUUGCAAUGUAUAUUUCAA